GUCUCUGUGGCGCAAUCGGUUAGCCUUUCCGGCUAUUAACCGGAACGUUGGUGGUUCGAGUCCAUCCAGGGACG
rfam:Papio anubis isolate 1X1155 chromosome 1, whole genome shotgun sequence.